rnacentral:rRNA from 1 species
GACGAACGCUGGCGGCGUGCUUAACACAUGCCAGUCGAACGGAAAGGCCCUGCUUUUGUGGGGUGCUCGAGUGGCGAACGGGUGAGUAACACGUGAGUAACCUGCCCUUGACUUUGGGAUAACUUCAGGAAACUGGGGCUAAUACCGGAUAGGAGCUCCUGCUGCAUGGUGGGGGUUGGAAAGUUUCGGCGGUUGGGGAUGGACUCGCGGCUUAUCAGCUUUUUGGUUGGGUAGUGGCUUACCAAGGCUUUGACGGGUAGCCGGCAUGAGAGGGUGACCGGGCAAAUUGGGACUGAGAGACGGACCAGACUGCUACGGGAGGCAGCAGUGGGGAAUAUUGCACAAUGGGCGGAAGCCUGAUGCAGAAACGCCGGGAGCGGGAAGACGGCCUUCGGGUUGUAAACAGCUUUAGCCUGUGACGAAGCGUGAGUGACGGUAAUGGGUAAAGAAGCACCGGCUAACUACGUG